UGCGCGUGCGCGUGCGUUAAUAAACCUUAUAGACGAAAAGUGCUAAUUUUGAAACAACAGUUACCAAAGUGCAUUUUACGGCAAACUUAAGGAUUUAUUUUUUGGUAAUUAACCUCUUUCUGGAUGGAUAUAUUUGUUGAAGUGCAAUAUUUUACACUCUAUUUUAGGCUGGAUGUGUAAAUUAUCCAUGUAAAGUCUUGUGGCAUCAUAAACUUUUCUUUUGA
rnacentral:misc_RNA from 1 species